UACGAAGGGGGCGAGCGUUGUUCGGAAUUACUGGGCGUAAAGGGCGCGCAGGCGGCUCUGAAAGUCAGAUGUGAAAGCCCCGGGCUUAACCUGGGAAUUGCAUUUGAUACUCUGGAGCUUGAGUACGGGAGAGGAGAGUGGAAUUCCCAGUGUAGAGGUGAAAUUCGUAGGUAUUGGGAAGAACACCGGUGGCGAAGGCGGCUCUCUGGACCGUAACUGACGCUGAGGCGCGAAAGCGUGGGGAGCAAACAGG
rnacentral:rRNA from 1 species